AGUGAACGCUGGCGGUAGGCCUAACACAUGCAAGUCGAACGGCAGCACAGUAAGAGCUUGCUCUUACGGGUGGCGAGUGGCGGACGGGUGAGGAAUACAUCGGAAUCUACUUUUUCGUGGGGGAUAACGUAGGGAAACUUACGCUAAUACCGCAUACGACCUACGGGUGAAAGCAGGGGAUCUUCGGACCUUGCGCGAUUGAAUGAGCCGAUGUCGGAUUAGCUAGUUGGCGGGGUAAGGGCCCACCAAGGCGACGAUCCGUAGCUGGUCUGAGAGGAUGAUCAGCCACACUGGAACUGAGACACGGUCCAGACUCCUACGGGAGGCAGCAGUGGGGAAUAUUGGACAAUGGGCGCAAGCCUGAUCCAGCCAUACCGCGUGUGUGAAGAAGGCCUUCGGGUUGUAAAGCCCUUUUGUUGGGAAAGAAAAGCAGCAGGUUAAUACCCCGCUGUUCUGACGGUACCCAAAGAAUAAGCACCGGCUAACUUCGUG
rnacentral:rRNA from 1 species